rnacentral:rRNA from 1 species
CGCCUCUUGCGUCCCAAAGUAUAAGAGGUCCCACCUGCCCUGUGACUCUAAGUUUAACGGCCGCGGUAUUCUAACCGUGCGAAGGUAGCGCAAUCAAUUGCCUUUUAAAUGAAGGCCUGUAUGAAUGGUAUAACGAGGGUCUAGCUGUCUCUUUUUCCUAGUCAGUUAAACUGAUCUGUCCGUGCAGAAGCGGACAUAAAUAUACAAGACGAGAAGACCCUAUGGAGCUUUAGACACUAGCCAAAUGUGAAUAAGCGACUCAACUAAACAAGUCCUAAGCACCCACAACCCCUGGCAACGAAGUCUUAGGUUGGGGCGACCACGGGAGAAAGAGAAGCUCCCAAGCAGACCGGGAAAACCCCUAAGCCGAGAGUUACAACUCUAAGCCGCAAAAUUUUUGACUGAAAUGAUCCGGUUGGAAAACCGAUUGACGGACCAAGUUACCCUAGGGAUAACAGCGCAAUCCCCUCCCAGAGUCCCUAUCGACGAGGGGGUUUACGACCUCGAUGUUGGAUCAGGACAUCCUAAUGGUGCAGCCGCUAUUAAGGGUUCGUUUGUUCAACGAUUAAAGUCCU